AUGUAAUGCCUACAAAGUUAAUUCAAUGGAUCCCAUUAGAUAUAGAUAGUUAAGCACUCUUUUACUAAAUUAGUAUCAGGAUGGGUGACCUCCUAGGAAGUCGUAGUGUUUUACAUG
rfam:Picea glauca, whole genome shotgun sequence.